UGGAUCCAGACUUUGAUUAUGGCUCAGGAUGAACGCUAGCUACAGGCUUAACACAUGCAAGUCGAGGGGCAGCAUGAACUUAGCUUGCUAAGUUUGAUGGCGACCGGCGCACGGGUGAGUAACACGUAUCCAACCUUCCGUUUACUCAGGGAUAGCCUUUCGAAAGAAAGAUUAAUACCUGAUAGUAUGGUGAGAUUGCAUGAUAACACCAUUAAAGAUUCAUUGGUAAACGAUGGGGAUGCGUUCCAUUAGGUAGUAGGCGGGGUAACGGCCCACCUAGCCAACGAUGGAUAGGGGUUCUGAGAGGAAGGUCCCCCACAUUGGAACUGAGACACGGUCCAAACUCCUACGGGAGGCAGCAGUGGGGAAUAUUGGUCAAUGGGCGCGAGCCUGAACCAGCCAAGUAGCGUGAAGGAUGAAGGUCCUACGGAUUGUAAACUUCUUUUAUAAGGGGAUAAAGUCGCCUACGUGUAGGCGUUUGUAUGUACCUUAUGAAUAAGCAUCGGCUAACUCCGUGCCAGCAGCCGCGGUAAUACGGAGGAUGCGAGCGUUAUCCGGAUUUAUUGGGUUUAAAGGGAGCGUAGACGGAGGAUUAAGUCAGUUGUGAAAGUUUGCGGCUCAACCGUAAAAUUGCAGUUGAUACUGGUCCCCUUGAGUGCAGUUGAGGCAGGCGGAAUUCGUGGUGUAGCGGUGAAUGCUUAGAUACCACGAAGAACCCCGAUUGCGAAGGCAGCCUGCUAAGCUGUAACUGACGUUGAUGCUCGAAAGUGUGGGUAUCAAACAGGAUUAGAUACCCUGGUAGUCCACACGGUAAACGAUGGAUACUCGCUGUUGGCGAUAUACUGUCAGCGGCCAAGCGAAAGCAUUAAGUAUCCCACCUGGGGAGUACGCCGGCAACGGUGCAACUCAAAUGAAUUGACGGA
rnacentral:rRNA from 1 species